AGGAAAGUAGGGGAUCGCAAGACCUUGCGCUUUUGGAGCGGCCGAUGUCUGAUUAGCUAGUUGGUGAGGUAAAGGCUUACCAAGGCUUCGAUCAGUAGCUGGUCUGAGAGGACGACCAGCCACACUGGGACUGAGACACGGCCCAGACUCCUACGGGAGGCAGCAGUGGGGAAUUUUGGACAAUGGGGGAAACCCUGAUCCAGCCAUGCCGCGUGAGUGAAGAAGGCCUUCGGGUUGUAAAGCUCUUUCAGCCGGAACGAAAAGGUUACGGUUAAUACCCGUGACUAAUGACGGUACCGGAAGAAGAAGCACCGGCUAACUACGUGCCAGCAGCCGCGGUAAUACGUAGGGUGCGAGCGUUAAUCGGAAUUACUGGGCGUAAAGCGUGCGCAGGCGGUUUUGUAAGUCAGAUGUGAAAUCCCCGGGCUCAACCUGGGAACUGCGUUUGAAACUACAAAGCU
rnacentral:rRNA from 1 species